rnacentral:rRNA from 1 species
UGAACGCUAGCGGCAGGCUUAACACAUGCAAGUCGAACGGUAACAUUUCUUGCUUGCAAGAAGAUGACGAGUGGCGCACGGGUGCGUAACGCGUAUACAAUCUACCUUUAACAAAGGGAUAGCCCAUGGAAACGUGGAUUAAUACCUUAUAAUAUAUAUGAAUGGCAUCAUUUAUAUAUCAAAGAAUUUCGGUUAGAGAGGAGUAUGCGUGACAUUAGCUAGUUGGUGAGGUAACGGCCCACCAAGGCAACGAUGUCUAGGGGUUCUGAGAGGAUGAUCCCCCACACUGGUACUGAGACACGGACCAGACUCCUACGGGAGGCAGCAGUGAGGAAUAUUGCGCAAUGGAGGAAACUCUGACGCAGCCAUGCCGCGUGAAGGAAUGAAGGCCCUAUGGGUUGUAAACUUCUUUUAUAUGGGAAGAAACUUUUCUACGUGUAGGAAACUGACGGUACCAUAGGAAUAAGCACCGGCUAACUCC